rnacentral:rRNA from 1 species
AAGUGUGGACGCCAGUCUGCAUGGAGCCGACCUUGAAAUACCACCCUUUAAUGUUUGAUGUUCUAACGUGGAUCCGUGAUCCGGGUUGCGGACAGUGUCUGGUGGGUAGUUUGACUGGGGCGGUCUCCUCCUAAAGAGUAACGGAGGAGCACGAAGGUUGGCUAAUCCUGGUCGGACAUCAGGAGGUUAGUGCAAUGGCAUAAGCCAGCUUGACUGCGAGCGUGACGGCGCGAGCAGGUGCGAAAGCAGGUCAUAGUGAUCCGGUGGUUCUGAAUGGAAGGGCCAUCGCUCAACGGAUAAAAGGUACUCCGGGGAUAACAGGCUGAUACCGCCCAAGAGUUCAUAUCGACGGCGGUGUUUGGCACCUCGAUGUCGGCUCAUCACAUCCUGGGGCUGAAGUAGGUCCCAAGGGUAUGGCUGUUCGCCAUUUAAAGUGGUACGCGAGCUGGGUUUAGAACGUCGUGAGACAGUUCGGUCCCUAUCUGCCGUGGGCGCUGGAGAACUGAGGGGGGCUGCUCCUAGUACGAGAGGACCGGAGUGGACGCAUCACUGGUGUUCGGGUUGUCAUGCCAAUGGCACUGCCCGGUAGCUAAAUGCGGAAGAGAUAAGUGCUGAAAGCAUCUAAGCACGAAACUUGCCCCGAGAUGAGUUCUCCCUGAGACUUUAGGUCUCCUGAAGGAACGUUGAAGACGACGACGUUGAUAGGCCGGGUGUGUAAGCGCAGCGAUGCGUUGAGCUAACCGGUACUAAUGAACCGUGAGGCUUAACCUUACA